rnacentral:rRNA from 1 species
CCUGCCCGAAUCCGCCGGGACCAUCCGGCAAGGCUAAAUACUCCCGAGAGACCGAUAGUGAACCAGUACCGUGAGGGAAAGGUGAAAAGCACUUCGAACAGAAGAGUGAAAUAGUCCCUGAACCCAUACGCCUACAAGCAGUCGGAGCCGCUUCGUGCGGUGACGGCGUGCCUUUUGCAUAAUGAGCCUACGAGUUACUCAUCACCAGCGAGGUUAAGUACUUCAGGUACGUAAGCCGAAGCGAAAGCGAGUCUGAAUAGGGCGUCAAGUUGGUGGUGGUAGACGCGAAACCUUAGUGAUCUACCCAUGGGCAGGGUGAAGGUUUGGUAACACAAACUGGAGGCCCGAACCGGUAAACGUUGAAAAGUUUUCGGAUGACCUGUGGGUAGGGGUGAAAGGCCAAUCAAACUGGGAAAUAGCUCGUACUCUCCGAAAUGCAUUUAGGUGCAGCCUCUGUUGUUUUGUUCUAGAGGUAGAGCUACUGAUUGGAUGCGAGGGCUUCACCGCCUAUCAAAUCCGGCCAAACUCCGAAUGCUAGAACAUAAAGACAGGGAGUGAGCCAGCGGGUGCUAAGGUCCGUUGACGAAAGAGGGAGAACUCAGACCAUCAGCUAAGGUCCCCAAUUAUAUGCUAAGUUGGAAUAAAAACGGGGUGGGACUGCUUAGACAGCUAGGAUGUUGGCUUGGAAGCAGCCAUUCAUUUAAAGAGUGCGUAACAGCUCACUAGUCGAGCGGUCCUGCAUGGAUAAUACGCGGGCAUAAGCAUAUAACCGAAGCUAUGGGAUUGUAGAUGAUACAAUCGGUAGGAGAGCAUUCCAUUCAGCAUAGAAGCAGUAUCGUGAGGUAUUGUGGAGCGGAUGGAAAAGCAAAUGUAGGCAUAAGUAACGAUAAUGCGGGUGAGAACCCCGCACGCCGAAAGAUCAAGGAUUCCCCGGCAAUGUCAAUCAUCCGGGGGUAAGUCGGAUCCUAAGGGUAAGCCGAGUGGCGAUCCCGAUGGUAAACAGGUUAAUAUUCCUGUACUGAUCAUAACUGCGAUGCAGCGACGCAGAGGUGACACUGCUGCGUACUGACGGAAUAGUACGUUGAAACCCGUAUUCUUUGAUACCGGUAGUGAAGCACGCCGGUAGAGAUGAAAGGUGAUAGUACCGCAAUGCUUCGGUUGCGCGGAUAACGCAGGUAAGCUGACUGCCAAGAAAACCUGCUAAGCUUCAGGUAAUGAUCAUCCGUACUGUAAACGGACACACGUGAUCAGGUAGAAAAUACUAAGGCGCUCGAGAGAUUCAUGGUUAAGGAACUAGGCAAAAUGGUCCUGUAACUUCGGGAUAAAGGACGCUCUUGUGAAAGAGCCGCAGAUAAUAGGCCCAGGCGACUGUUUACCAAAAACACAUGGCUAUGCUAAUUCGCAAGAAGAUGUAUAUGGCCUGACACCUGCCCGGUGCCGGAAGGUUAAGAGGAGAGCUCAGAGGUAACUCGAAGGUUUGAAUUGAAGCCCCGGUAAACGGCGGCCGUAACUAUAACGGUCCUAAGGUAGCGAAAUUCCUUGUCGGGU